GACUGGUGCGUCUAAGGAUUCACCAGCAUGGCCUUGAAUUUCAAGGGAGAGUUAAUCCUUCGCUUUUAAAGCGUAAACACAUGAACAAU
rnacentral:sRNA from 1 species